ensembl:lncRNA novel transcript
UAUGGAAGAAUCCCUUGAGCCCAGGAGUUGGAGGCUGCGGUGAGCUACGAUUGCACCAGUGCACUCCAGCUUGGGUGACAGAGCGAGACCCUGUCUCCAAAAAAAAAAAAAAAAAAAAAAAGAUGAGGAAAUCGCCCGAGGAUGGAUCCGACUUGUGGUUUCAAUGGAGCCCUCAUUCUUCUCUUCACUUACCCUCUCCGUGAGGAGGAAGCCAGUGCACAUCAAGCGUUUCCUGUGUAGCACAGACUCUUCUCCCAAACAUCUUUGCAUUCUGCACUGGUGAGGGCCAGUGGUGCCACACCAAUGUCCCAAUUCACCUUGGGAACGUCCUUGAGCGCAUUUCUUUUUGUCUGUAGAAGUAAAAGAGUAGAACUGAAUGCCGAAGCCAGCAAGCUGUUGGAACCUUGGAAACGCAGAGGGCAUGAAGGCUGAGUCCGGGGUCCUACAGUCAGAGGCUCGCAUUCAAAUCUUGCCUCUGCCUGUAAUUGCCGUGGGACCCUAGCAGGUGACUUAGCCAUGCCCUGCCUGGGUUUACCUACCUGUAAAGAGCCCUUGUAAGGAUGAAAGUAGGUGGCACAGACCAAGCAUCUGUACCUGGCAGACCAGUCCUUAAUAAACAGGAAUUAUUGUUA